GGGACGAACGCUGGCGGCGUGCUUAACACAUGCAAGUCGAACGGUGACAGGGGGAGCUUGCUCCCCCUUGAUCAGUGGCGAACGGGUGAGUAACACGUGAGUAACCUGCCCCAGACUCUGGAAUAACCCCGGGAAACCGGAGCUAAUACCGGAUACGAGACGGAGUCGCAUGACUACCGUCUGGAAAGUUUUCGGUCUGGGAUGGACUCGCGGCCUAUCAGCUUGUUGGUGAGGUAGUGGCUCACCAAGGCGACGACGGGUA
rnacentral:rRNA from 1 species